rnacentral:rRNA from 1 species
UACCGCAUAAGACCACAGCACCGCAUGGUGCAGGGGUAAAAACUCCGGUGGUAUGAGAUGGACCCGCGUCUGAUUAGGUAGUUGGUGGGGUAACGGCCUACCUAGCCGACGAUCAGUAGCCGACCUGAGAGGGUGACCGGCCACAUUGGGACUGAGACACGGCCCAAACUCCUGCGGGAGGCAGCAGUGGGGAAUAUUGCACAAUGGGGGAAACCCUGAUGCAGCGACGCCGCGUGAGCGAUGAAGUAUUUCGGUAUGUAAAGCUCUAUCAGCAGGGAAGAAAAUGACGGUACCUGACUAAGAAGCACCGGCUAAAUACGUGCCAGCAGCCGCGGUAAUACGUAUGGUGCAAGCGUUAUCCGGAUUUACUGGGUGUAAAGGGAGCGUAGACGGAGUGGCAAGUCUGAUGUGAAAACCCGGGGCUCAACCCCGGGACUGCAUUGGAAACUGUCAAUCUAGAGUACCGGAGAGGUAAGCGGAAUUCCUAGUGUAGCGGUGAAAUGCGUAGAUAUUAGGAGGAACACCAGUGGCGAAGGCGGCUUACUGGACGGUAACUGACGUUGAGGCUCGAAAGCGUGGGAGCAAACAGGAUUAGAUACCCUGGUAGUCCACGCCGUAAACGAUGACUACUAGGUGUCGGGCAGCAAAGCUGUUCGGUGCCGCAGCAAACGCAAUAAGUAGUCCACCUGGGGAGUACGUUCGCAAGAAUGAAACUCAAAGGAAUUGACGGGGACCCGCACAAGCGGUGGAGCAUGUGGUUUAAUUCGAAGCAACGCGAAGAACCUUACCUGCUCUUGACAUCUCCCUGACCGGCAAGUAAUGUUGCCUUUCCUUCGGGACAGGGAUGACAGGUGGUGCAUGGUUGUCGUCAGCUCGUGUCGUGAGAUGUUGGGUUAAGUCCCGCAACGAGCGCAACCCCUAUCUUUAGUAGCCAGCGGUUUGGCCGGGCACUCUAGAGAGACUGCCAGGGAUAACCUGGAGGAAGGUGGGGAUGACGUCAAAUCAUCAUGCCCCUUAUGAGCAGGGCUACACACGUGCUACAAUGGCGUAAACAAAGGGAGGCAGAACCGCGAGGUCGAGCAAAUCCCAAAAAUAACGUCUCAGUUCGGAUUGUAGUCUGCAACUCGACUACAUGAAGCUGGAAUCGCUAGUAAUCGCGAAUCAGAAUGUCGCGGUGAAUACGUUCCCGGGUCUUGUACACACCGCCCGUCACACCAUGGGAGUCAGUAACGCCCGAAGUCAGUGACCCAACCGCAAGGAGGGAGCUGCCGAAGGUGGGACCGAUAACUGGGGUGAAGUCGGAACAAGGUA